rnacentral:misc_RNA from 1 species
AAUGCGAUAAGUAGUGUGAAUUGCAGAAUUCAGUGAAUCAUCGAAUCUUUGAACGCACAUUGCGCCCCUUGGUAUUCCAUGGGGCAUGCCUGUUCGAGCGUCAUUUGUACCCUCAAGCUCUGCUUGGUGUUGGGUGUUUGUCCCGUCUCCGCGCGUGGACUCGCCCCAAAGUGAUAGGCAGCCGGCGUACUGGUCCCGGAGCGCAGCACAUGUCGCGCAAACGAGUGCCUUGGUACGGCGGCGUCCAUAAGCCCCUCUCUCACGCUCUUGACCUCGGAUCAGGUAGGGAUACCCGCUGAACUUAAGC